AAACCAGCACCUCAAGUGGUCAGGAGGUUUAUUGGGCCUAAAGCAUCCGUAGCCUGAUCUAUAAGUUUCCGGUUAAAUCCAAAUGCUCAACAUUUGGGCUGCCGGAAAAACUGUAGAUCUAGGGAGUGGGAGAGGUAGACGGUACUCGGUAGGAAGGGGUAAAAUCCUUUGAUCUAUUGAUGACCACCAGUGGCGAAGGCGGUCUACCAGAACACGUUCGACGGUGAGGGAUGAAAGCUGGGGGAGCAAACCGGAUUAGAAACCCUAGUAGUCC
rnacentral:rRNA from 1 species